rnacentral:tRNA from 1 species
GGAGGAGUCGCUCAGUGGUAGAGUACCUGACUGGCAUGCAGGAGGUCCUGGGUUCAAUUCCCAGUACCUCCG